UUUAUGCAUAUCAGUUGCAUGUUCCUUAAAGCCACUGUAAUGAUGACUACUGUUUCCAGGUAUAUUUUUAUGGAGUCAUAUGGACGUGCUCGUUGAUAAUUCGUAUAGAAUGUGUAUAUUCUUUAUAACUUUGCCAUGUAAUGCCUACUGUUAGAAAACAUCUUGCAAGUACUUUGGUUAGGUACUUGAAAGCACAUAUACACACAUGCCCAGCACAGCAAUAAGCACACACAUACAACAUAGAACAUAUGCUCUGCUCCUGAUUUGUCAAUAGUAUGAUGAUGCUUUGCUCUGAUUUGCUUUGCCACUCUAAAAGUUCUGCACUAGGGGCCACUUUGCAUGUGCUUGCUCAUGUAGUGACCUGAUUGCCAGUUGUUUGUGUUGAUGUGUUCAACUUAUGUCUAGAUACAACAAGUUAGUCUUGAUUUGUCCAAGAACUAAGUAGAAUUGUCUGAACUCUGCUUACACACAUCUGCCAUGUGGUGAGAUUAUGCGGGCAAGAAAAUGCAACAAGCUUGAUUGCGGGAUGCCCACGAGCACCUGCAUAACACAUGCGUGCAAGUGUGGGCAUCCCGCUAUUAGUCCCACUUGCAACAUGAAUGUGUAUCCCUAAUGAAGUGAAUGGUCAUGACAGUGUUCCUGAACUAUGACCAUCCAUUGACAUAUUGUUCAUACAAAUUCUAUUAUCAAUGUCGCUGAAUGAUAAUAUUGACCAUAAUGUAGGUUGCUUCCAAAGUACUCCCUUCGUCCCAUAAUAUAAAGUGUGUUUUUUGACACUACACUAGUGUAAAAAAUGCACUUAUAUUAUGGGACACGGAGUAGUUUUAGAGACUAUAACAUAUCCAAACUAGUGUAAUGUGGUAUAUGCUACUAUUCAGAGUACUGAUCUAGAAACUAAGGCUGGUGAUAUUGAGUUAGGUGUUGAACUUGCACUUGUGCGCAUAGAUGUACCUAUUCUUGAUAAUGAGGAGUUAGUAAAGUAAGUUUCUCAUUGCAAGAGAAUUGGUGAUGCUUUUGCUUCAGAAUACUUAAUUGCCUGACCUUUAGCUUUUGUAAGUUGAAGUGUUCUCUUCCAUAUUCCAAAUUAUAUUUGUGUACAUUUAAUUACAUAACUGCCAGGUCCAUUUUUUUACAGAUUCAAAAGAAGGAUAAUUAAGUUGCAGCUAAAUUCUCGGAUGGAUGAAGAAGCAAAUAAAGUUAGAAGAUUUUACUUAGCAAUAUCCAUAGUUUACAUUGACAGAUUGAAAAAUUGUAAUACUAUUCACAAGAUCUUUUUCUUUGGUUCAAUUGAUGUAAAUGCUAUGGUGUAAUAUUCUUCAUAGAUGUGUUCUCUAUAGUCAAAGUGAUA
rnacentral:lncRNA from 1 species